GCCUACGGGACGCAGCAGUGGGGAAUAUUGCACAAUGGGGGAAACCCUGAUGCAGCGACGCCGCGUGAGCGAUGAAGUAUUUCGGUAUGUAAAGCUCUAUCAGCAGGGAAGAAAAUGACGGUACCUGACUAAGAAGCCCCGGCUAACUACGUGCCAGCAGCCGCGGUAAUACGUAGGGGGCAAGCGUUAUCCGGAUUUACUGGGUGUAAAGGGAGCGUAGACGGUCCUGCAAGCCAGGUGUGAAAGCCCGGGGCCCAACCCCGGAACUGCUCUGGAAACUGUGCGGCUAGAGUACUGGAGGGGCA
rnacentral:rRNA from 1 species